GACAGCAGUCGCCGCGGUAAUACGUAGGUGGCAAGCAUUGUCCGGAAUUAUUGGGCGUAAAGGGCUCGCAGGCGGUUUCUUAAGUCCGAUGUGAAAGCCCCCGGCUCAACCGGGGAGGGUCAUUGGAAACUGGGAAACUUGAGUGCAGAAGAGGAGAGUGGAAUUCCACGUGUAGCGGUGAAAUGCGUAGAGAUGUGGAGGAACACCAGUGGCGAAGGCGACUCUCUGGUCUGUAACUGACGCUGAGGAGCGAAAGCGUGGGGAGCGAACAGGAUUAGAUACCCCAGUAGUCCCUGUCUCUUAUAC
rnacentral:rRNA from 1 species